AUUGAACGCUGGCGGCAUGCCUUACACAUGCAAGUCGAACGGUAACGGGCCUUCGGGUGCCGACGAGUGGCGAACGGGUGAGUAAUGUAUCGGAACGUACCUUUCAGUGGGGAUAACGUAGCGAAAGUUACGCUAAUACCGCAUAUUCUGUGAGCAGGAAAGCAGGGGAUCGCAAGACCUUGCGCUGAUUGAGCGGCCGAUAUCAGAUUAGCUAGUUGGUGAGGUAAAGGCUCACCAAGGCGACGAUCUGUAGCGGGUCUGAGAGGAUGAUCCGCCACACUGGAACUGAGACACGGUCCAGACUCCUACGGGAGGCAGCAGUGGGGAAUUUUGGACAAUGGGGGCAACCCUGAUCCAGCCAUGCCG
rnacentral:rRNA from 1 species